AUGGAGUUGUUUGCUUCUAGAAUCACACCAUCACAGAAUCACAGUCAGGAAGCAUCAAGACCUGGAACCCAUGAUGAUCAGGAAACCUGGGCUACUGCUGCCCCAGAACUGUCUUAUGUCUGGUACAUGGACAUCCCAUGCCCUGACUUUGGGCACUCAACAAACACCACUGGCCAUUGCCCAGACUUGUGGAGAAAAUGCCCUUUGCCUGCAGGAUGCCAUUCUCUGAAGCUGGUGAAAAAGAAACCUCUCCAGGGGAAACUUUUCUGACAUCCACAGAAAGAGUUAUUUGCCUCCGCCCACUUUGGAAUUGUAUGUCUGUCAUCCUCCUAAAUAUAAUCUUCUGCUUUUCUUGUCCUCUACUAUACUGUGAUUUCAUAAAAAUUUUAUAUUAAUCAUUUUUGGUAUCUUUGGUGCCUGGCUUGUUCAAUAUAAAUUUAGAAGAUGUAUGUGCAAUGCUUUGCUUUUCCAAGUAGGAAGCUAAAAUGGUAAGGUUAUCUGUUAUCCAUUUUCUUCAUUGCAACCCAAACCUUGUAUUAUGAAAACCAAUAUAUUAUCAACUGUCCUAGAAUCCUAAGUAGUUCCUUUUCACAGAGCAAAGUGCAGUGUGAUAGAGAACAGGUUUCAGAGUGAGAAAUUACUGGAUUGGAAUCCUUGCUCUACCUUUAGCUUCCUGAGUGAUUGUGACUAACUUCUUCAACUUGGUAUCUUCAUUGGUAGAAUAAGGAUGGUAAGACUGCUUACCCCACAGGUGUUUGUAAGGCUCAAAGACAUAAUGCACAUAGAGCACCCAGUACAGUGCCUGCCACUCAGUAUCUCCCAGUAGUGGGAGGAUGACAAGGAGAGGGAAAUCAGUGAUCCCUCAAUUUUUAAUUGACAUUCGCACGUGUCUGUCCAGAGGAAGAAAUUAUUAGGAUUACCUUCAGAUUCUCACUUGUGCCAAAAUGCUAAAAUUCAAGAAUUUUAUUUAAUGGGCAAAAUGUAGUGUUCAUCCGCUUGUAGAGAAUUAGGAAUAAUCUUUCCAAGCAGCAUCAGCCACCAUCCACCCUCACAGAGGCAAGCCAAGCCACAGGAAUGGAUGAUGGUGGUGACUUAUCUCUCCUGAAGCUUGUGGCUGGGGAGAAUCAGUCUAGAAGGUUAAAGUCUUGAUCCCGGGAUGAAAUAAAGACAUGAUUCAUAAGAAACA
rnacentral:lncRNA from 1 species